rnacentral:lncRNA from 1 species
CCCACAUUCAUCUGAGAGGCGAUCGCCGGGGACAUGGGAAGCAAGAGCAGCCGCCGAUGUGUGAAGGCAACGAGACGCGGCCAGCCAGAGGCGCCGGGGUCCCUUCCCGGGGUUUGUUAACAUGGUAAUCCGGCACCAGGAGAGAAAGCUGCUUUCUGCUGCCCAGAGCCCGUUCCCCAUCACACAUCAGAUGACUCCCUGGUUUUACACACAGUUGGAGUUCUGCUUGAAACCUGGAUUUAAAGGGAAUCUGUUGCUGCGUGUGACAUCUCUUGCAAGCUCCCAGAGAGAAUUGAUGGCGGAUACAGCUAGGGAAUAGGAUGCCAGAGAAGCACAGAGGAAGAAAUCAUGCAAUCGCCAGGAUGGGAAGGUACCACAUCCGUUGGAUAUGGGACGAGAUCACUCUGCAACCCUUGUGGAUUCUCCUUCUUCUAGAGGGGAAUUAUAGUUAUGGAUUUAUUGUCCCGGUGCAGCACUUCCACCAGCAGCAGCAACAGCAGCAGCUUUCUGACUCUCUUCGGUGA